rnacentral:rRNA from 1 species
GAUGAACGCUGGCGGCGUGCCUAAUACGUGCAAGUCGAGCGAACAGACGAGGAGCUUGCUCCUCUGACGUUAGCGGCAGACGUGUGAGUAACACGUGGAUACCCUACCUAUAAGACUGGGAUCACUUCGGAAAACCGGAUCUAAUCCCGUAUAAUAUAUUGAUCCGCAUGGUUCAAUAGUGAAAGACGGUUUUGCCGUCACUUAUAGAUGGAUCCGCGCCGCAUUAGCUAGUUGGUACGGUAACGGCUUACCAAGGCAACGCUGCGUCGCCGACCGGAGAGGGGGAUCGGCCACCCUGGAACUGAGACACGGCCCAGACUCCUACGGGAGGCAGCAGUAGGGAAUCUUCGGCAAUGGGCGAAAGCCUGACGGAGCAACGCCGCGUGAGUGAUGAAGGUCUUCGGAUCGUAAACCUCUGUUAUUAGGGAAGAACAAAUGUGUAAUUAACUAUGCACGUCGUGACGGUACCUAAUCAGAAAGCCACGGCUAACUACGUG